CACGCAUCCCUCCCCCUCUCUCCACAGGAGCACCGAACCCGCCAUGGACAGGGAGCUCACAGCUCGCGCAGCCCGGAUCCGCCUCGUUCGCCCACACCCAACCAGAUCUGUCGUCUUCUGCCUCAGUUUCUUCGCCGCCGUCGUCGUAUUCUGGCUGGCUGCCACCGGACCUGACGCACGCAUCUCGCGUUAAGCCCUGCAUCACGCCGCCAACCUCCGGCCUCGUGCGCCUGCACGGGGCAGACACAACCAAGCCGUGCCUCGUGCGCUUGCACGGAAUGACGGCAUUGUGAGGCUCUGGCUGCUCCAUGGCGACGCGCGGCCGGCCGAGGGAGGUGCUACAGUGAGCUGCCGGCAAGGCUAGCGGCGGCGGAAGCGCAGGGGCUAGAGCGGUUGCUCCUAAAACUUUCCUCUAGCCAACCGUUUUCUAGUGGGAGCUGAAACAAGGCCCCGAACACUGAAGAUAUGAG
rnacentral:rRNA from 1 species